ensembl:lncRNA
CCCGGGAAAGGAAAUCUGGGGCCCCCUGCUUGAGCUGCUCCCCCCGCGACCCGACCCCGGAUAAGCGGAUGACGAUGAGGAAUUCUCUAUCUAGCAGGCAACAGGAAAAACCAACAAGAACAACCAGAAACAACCUUUGCCAACAGAAAGUGGGCAAAAUAAGGUACACAUAAAUAUAUAUUCAGCUGUUACGGUAAUGCUUGGUAGACUUAUGUUAAAAAUUCAAUUGAACCUCUGUCUCUGUGCUUGUGCGUGUGCGUGUGUGUGUGUGUGUGUGUGUGUGGGGGGGGGGGAUAUAGGUUAUUUCCGAGAUAACUGAAUUGGUCAUCUGAGUUACUCAUAUUUGACCGUAGAGAUCUGAAGAUGGGGGAAAGACAGAAAUGCAUGCUUACUCAUUAAUACUUCCUCAUAAUCAGACGUAGCCUACAUUGCUCAAAGCCAUUGCCUCCUUGUCAUUAGUGUGCAGUGACACUGAUCUCCAGAGAUGGAAACUGGUGGAGGCGUGAGGAUAAAAACAGAGGUGUUAAGAGAGAAAAUAAACAUUGGUUAGACAAGGUCAUUGAGAAACCACAAGUUAAAUAUUAAACAAUUGAAACAACUGCGGGCUAGCCAUUCUGAGACCGGCUGAAGUCUAUCGUGAUUUCGAAUGAUGCAAUGGGUCAAAUCGUUCACAUGUUCAUUCCCCAUUCACACCAUUAACGUUGUUUUCACCAGGGUAAGUCUGUACCUCUGUUGUACAUUAGGUAAUCAGUGAGCACAGCUUAAACCAGCCAAGUCCAAACACACUCAAGGAGAGAUCUCCUGCACGGCAGUGGAGCUGCCUUGUCAUGUUCUUUGACGGCAACUUCAGCAAUAAACUGGAUUUCCACCAGCCUGCGUCCCGGGUUUGAGGGGUCCAGAAAAGUUGCAGGUAUGUAGCAUGGACAAUAUUGUUACAAUAUGAAAAUAAAUAUAUAUAUACAGUAGGCUAUAUAAAAAUAACAAAGAUUAACAGGAACAGUGCGCAUGCUAAUCCAGAGUGGCGCAGAAAGUUAAAGAAACAUCUGUUGUUGUUUCGAGGACAACUCAGCAAAGGCAAAUAGCACUAGUUAUAUUCGGCUAUUAAGUAACAUGUACACAUCCCAGCAAAAUAAUAACACUUCUUAGACUCAUGUGAUGAAUUCUAGGGAGCAACACCAAGGCCCAUGGAUAGGACAUGGCGGUUGGUCAAUAGAGGGCGCUAGGGCGCCGUACCUCCGUUAAAUAUUCACUUGAAUAUAUCUGCCAGCGACGAAAUAAAUCAACAAAAAUACAUAGCGUUUAUCCUCGUUUAAUUAUGUGGUAUACUUGUCAUUGCCAGUCAGAGGCGCCGGCCACGUUGAAUUCAAUGUAAGUACUUUUUGCUGUCUAUCAAGCGGAGACAACUUUUCAAUCAAAUAGGAUUCCUCCCUCAGCAGCAUUCACGCAACACAACUAGAGAACAGAUAGAUCGCUAACUAGCAGAGGGUUGUAAGCACUUUCCCCCCUUUUCAGUGGGGGAAUUGGACUCCCCAAGCAAUGUUAUACUUAAAAGGAGCAAGUAAGUUACAUAUUAAUCCAGUCUUUCGGCCUGUGGCAUAUAAGCAACUGUCCCAUAUUUCUAACUGCAUUUGAAGUAGACAUUGAUGCCCACAAAAAAUGUAACAUUAUUUGGGUAUAUGAUAUUUCUACUCAAUGAAUACUUUCACUCGUAUCAUCCGUGCAUUUAACUCCACCACGAGAAAGCCUGAGAAACCGUCCUGCUGCUUGUGGAACUUCCACUGGAACUUCCCCUCCGUGUCGUCACCGCUGAAAGUGGUGCUGCUGAGCGGCGGGCGAGCGCAAGUUAUUACAUCUCCUACGCUCCGGGGACAGCGGUCCACACUUAACGUACUUCCUGAGAUUAACAAAGAAGACGCAGAAGCUCAUGAUACGUUUGGUCAUUCGCGCAAAGAACGCAAUAGCUCAGGGAUCUAUCUCAAAGAUCGUCGCCAUCCAUAUCGCUGGUGUGGAUUCGAAAGCACUGCUUGGAAUCGCAUUGUUCUUAUACCGUCUCAGCUGGAAGUCAUGGAGUGGUCCUUCGUGAAGUUGUAUCUCAUCGGAUGGGCGUUGAGCGCCUUCACGGUCUUCUUCUCCUUGAUGGACUCCUUCGGUGGACUCAUGUACGGCCAGGAUGACCUUAGGGUGUGGGCCCAGGACCACCAGAGACCACUCACCGCCCCCAGCAGUAGGACAGGACCGACAGGAGCGAAAGACGAGGACUCGUCGUAAAUGGGAGACCUACACAUGGAGGGAAUUGUAUAGCCGAUGAAGAGCAGGUGUCAGAUGGCGCAUUUGUGUCACACACUAACCCACUGUCCUUAUUCUUUAAAGAAACACAUUGUUUCUUGCACUAAGUCUGUUACUUGUAUAUAUGUAUUACCUUAAUGUAUGGAUCAGAAUGACCAAGUCCAAGGCUUAGGUGCUGUAAAUGUAAAAAUACUGUGUGUGUUAAGUCGUAUUAUUUAAAUAUUUAUUAUAUUCUGAUAAAUGUGUGAAACACUGUAAUGGGUCUAAGUAAUGGGUCACUGUAAUGGGUUAAAGUCAAACACUGUUUGACUUGCAACCCUAUCCAAGAAUCAGUUUUCUAUACCCAACAAAGGUUGUCAAAGUCUAAUAAGACUAUAAGGCAAAUGUGGCUCACUUUCCUUAUUGUUGAUAUUUUACAUAUUAAAGUUGUAUAACAACCUACAAGUGUGUUGAUGUCUCAUAAUCACUGAUUUAUUGUAAAUGUAUUGUCUAUAAUAUGGAAAGUUUUGUUAUAACAAGUUCUGAUUCCCUGGAUGUCGACAGAAACACGUGUGUACGGCAUGUGUACGUGUGUAUGUACGUGUGCGUGUACUGCUUCUAGAGGAAACCUCUGGACUCCUCUACACUUCUGCUCUCCUCUGCCGCGGCCUCUCCUUUCCUAGGGCCCUAUGAAAUCCGCGAUAACGAAAACGCGGACGGAAUCACGGAAUUGGACAAUAAAAACGGAAUCAACUGAUUUUUUUUUUUUUAUUAUUUUAUUAAGCAGGAAAGUAUUAAAAGUAACAAAGUUACAAUUUAAAACGGGCCUGUCUUAGUAAAAUAACUGAUUUCCAGCAGGUUCCUGUUCUUCAGCACAUAUAACAUGCAACAGGGACAAGGCACAUCAGACGUCACAUUUAC